UAGUCCAUGCCGUAAACGAUGUGUACUAGGUGUAGCGGAUAUUGACCUCUGCUGCGCCGUAGCUAACGCGUUAAGUACACCGCCUGGGGAGUACGGCCGCAAGGCUAAAACUCAAAGGAAUUGACGGGGGCCCGCACAAGCGGUGGAGUAUGUGGUUUAAUUCGAAGCAACGCGCAGAACCUUACCUGGCCUUGACAUCUCGGGACAAUCAUAGAGAUAUGACUUUUUCUUCGGAAACCCGAUGACAGAUGCUGCAUGGCUGUCGUCAGCUCGUGUUGUGAAAUGUUCGGUUAAGUCCGGCAACGAGCGCAACCCCUAUCCUUAGUUACCAUCAUUAAGUUGGGGACUCUAGGGAGACUGCCGGUGUCAAACCGGGAGGAAGGCGGGGAUGACGGGCAAGUCCUCAUGGCUCUUACGGGCCAGGGGCUACACACGUACUACAAU
rnacentral:rRNA from 1 species